rnacentral:rRNA from 1 species
AGCAGCCGCGGUAAUUCCAGCUCCAAUAGCGUAUAUUAAGGUUGUUGCAGUUAAAAAGCUCGUAGUUGAAUUUCGGGGUUAGUAGGUUGGUCGUGCCACCGGUAUGUACUGGCUCUACUGAUCCCUCCUUCUUGUAGAACCGUAAUGCCAUUAACUUGGUGUUGCGGGGAAACAGGACUGUUACUUUGAAAAAAUUAGAGUGUUUAAAGCAGGCUAACGCUUGAAUACAUUAGCAUGGAAUAAUGAAAUAGGACGCUCGAUCCUAUUUUGUUGGUUUCUAGGAUUGACGUAAUGAUUAAUAGGGAUAGUUGGGGGCAUUAGUAUUCAAUUGUCAGAGGUGAAAUUCUUGGAUUUAUUGAAGACUAACUACUGCGAAAGCAUUUGCCAAGGAUGUUUUCAUUAAUCAAGAACGAAAGUUAGGGGAUCGGAAGACGAUCAGAUACCGUCGUAGUCUUAACCAUAAACUAUGCCGACUAGGGAUCGGAUGGAUGUUAAUUUUUAAUGUACUCUAUUCGGCGCC